UUAUCGUCAUUAACUAGUUACUUGAUAUGAGAUUUUAAUGGGGAGUGGUGUAAUGCCCGCACGAUUGUUGACUUUCAUUGUAAUUGCCUGAGCUGGUUCCUGGGCCGCCUCAGAUAGCAGGAUGGUGUGUCGGGUGUGUCAAGUAUCUUGACCUGACACUUGACAGGAAGGCUGUCCGGUUAUGACUGAGGCCGGCAUCUCACCUGUCCUGGCUACGCCAAAUCGCUGUGGAUGCCGGAUGCCGAGGACCGGAGAGCCAACCGCUUUGAGGCGUGAGCUCUGUGGCGUGACUCGAGUGAUCACCAGGUUCUGACGGCUACGGCGCCGUCGACCUGGUUGAAUAGCUGGGGCCUGAACGAGGGUGACCUCAGUACGGUGGCCAAUCGGUUACGUCCGAGGGGCGCUCGAACACGCUGCCGUCGCGUGGCUGCCGGCGGCCGCCCCCUCGCAUGUGGAUCUCCUGGAGCGAGGACUGUGAGAGGCGGCCGCAUCAUCACCUGUGUCCGCGCUCAACACCGUGCCACGCACUAAUGGCGGAAGCCCGACUUUCUCCGAUGGAGGAGAGAAGCUGGACGCUGGCUGCCAGGCUGCUGGGGAGGGCGCUGGGUCUGCCAUCAGGGGACCCCCUGCGCGCGACCGCCGAGGCCUCGGCACCGGCGCGCCUGUCUUCGGUCCGAGGCUGGAGAUUGCGAGGCCGCCAGGCCUGGGCGAGAGCGAGAAUCCCACCGUGGCAACAGACGACUGGCGUCACCUUCCGGUUGGACGUGUGCCCGAUCCGGGCUGGGGCCACGGCGGCGGAAAGGGAAAGCGUGGCUACGCUGCACCUCGCGUCCCUGCCCCUGUGUGCUGUCGGGUUUUGGACGGACGGAUCUGCGGAGGGCGGAGUCUUCAGGCGCUGGGUGGGAGCCGUGCUGGUCUGGCUGGACGAAGAGGCCGAGGAACUGCGGGCCCCGGCCGGAGAGCUGUGCUAUGGCUACCGCGCGGAGAUGAUGGCGCUGGUGACCGGUCCGGAGACCCUACUCGGAAGAGACAGAGACCAGGACUUGCGUUCCGUACCUAUCUGCUAACUGUGCGGUGGUGCUGGUGUAGUGCAGCAUUUUUGGAUGGAUAGCUACAUUUCACGAUUAACUAGCUGUUACGUUUCAGUGCAGGUGGCGUGACGAACAAUGUGGUAUCUGUUGGCCACUUCUGCGGCCGCUGCUCCUACUCGAAGGCGGGCGCGCUGUUUGGCUGGGCCGGCAGGAUGUUCCCAUUAUGUGUCGAGGACAAAUCGUGUAUAUUCAUGUUCUUUUAAUGCACAGAUGUCUGUUGUAUAUUUGUCUGAAGUUUUAUUUUAAGUUGACGGUUGCGUAGGGCAGAUUCAUCUUCUCUCUUUCAUUUUUGUUGCCACUUUAGCGUUCAUGUUUGUUAUGUGUCCUGGUCCGGCUUGGUUGUCAUCGUUAUUCGUGAUGUAUUUUAUUUUACGAACAUGCUGGUGAUCAAUGCAAUACACUUUUGGUUAAUAA
rnacentral:lncRNA from 1 species